UGGGGAAUUUUGGACAAUGGGGGCAACCCUGAUCCAGCCAUGCCGCGUGCGGGAAGAAGGCCUUCGGGUUGUAAACCGCUUUUGUCAGGGAAGAAAUCUGCCUGGAUAAUACCUGGGUGGGAUGACGGUACCUGAAGAAUAAGCACCGGCUAACUACGUGCCAGCAGCCGCGGUAAUACGUAGGGUGCGAGCGUUAAUCGGAAUUACUGGGCGUAAAGCGUGCGCAGGCGGCUGUGCAAGACAGGUGUGAAAUCCCCGGGCUCAACCUGGGAACUGCACUUGUGACUGCAUGGCUGGAGUACGGCAGAGGGGGAUGGAAUUCCGCGUGUAGCAGUGAAAUGCGUAGAUAUGCGGAGGAACACCGAUGGCGAAGGCAAUCCCCUGGGCCUGUACUGACGCUCAUGCACGAAAGCGUGGGGAGCAAAC
rnacentral:rRNA from 1 species